UAGCGAAGGGGGCUAGCGUUGCUCGGGAAUUACUGGGCGUAAAGGGCGCGUAGGCGGACAGUUAAGUCAGAGGUGAAAGCCCAGGGCUCAACCCUGGAAUUGCCUUUGAUACUGGCUGUCUUGAGUAUGGGAGAGGUGAGUGGAACUCCGAGUGUAGAGGUGAAAUUCGUAGAUAUUCGGAAGAACACCAGUGGCGAAGGCGACUCACUGGCCCAUUACUGACGCUGAG
rnacentral:rRNA from 1 species